UUGAAAACUUCUGAGGUGUAUGGCCAGUUGGUAACUUCCCUGGAUGAUAAAGAGGAUUGGAACGAAAUCCAAUUUACUUGUGAGAGGUUUAAUGGAGUCAAUAUCACUAAUAAAACUAUAAGCUUCAACAAAUUUAUUCUUGAUUACAACCUCAUGGAUCUUUCCUUCACGAUGAAACCCACACAUGGAAUAACAAGCAAUUAGACGUAGUUGGCAGUUAGGAUUUUAUUCACUAUCUCAAGUUGAUCUGCCAAAACCAAGCCCAGUUUUCCUUCUUUUGCAACGUUGUUCGAGGUGGUUCAUUCCCUUAUCAUUUCAAGGAUGAAUAAAUAUGGGGAGGUCCAUGAAGUUUUAGCUAACUGGAGUGGCAGAGAUGUUCUGGAAUGUGGAAAAGUUGCACCAAAUGUUGGCUUAGAAGUGGAAGGAAUCAAGUGUUGGUCAUAUGCUGAUCAUGGUUCAAGUUAAUGGGCCAGAAUGUAAGGCAAGGUGUUCUGCACCUUUAGACCAAAAGGGAACCCAAACAAUUCACUUAUUAUAUACCUAAUCUAGGUGUGAGUGCUUAACACCCAGGUGUACCCCUAACACUUUUCCAUUUCACUCUCAUGAACAGAGAAAUUUUUUGUUCUCUAUUUUCUUUCCCAUUUCAGUUUCUCUGUCAAGACCAUACCACCACCGAUCUCUCCCUCUCACUCCCAUACUAGUCGUACGCCACCCUUACCUCCUCUGUUCUCUCUAAUGUCAAUCACCCAGUUCUUCAUCUUUACCUACUCUUCUGUAGCCAUUUGUGUGAAAGUGAAGAAACAAGUUGAAAGUCAUUGGGGGUAGGAAUUAAAACCUAUGGUAUGAUUUCAUCUCUGAAACUCCCUCAAUUGCAGCAUGCUAUGUGACGUCAAUGGAGUGGUUGAAGACAGUGGAGUGUAUCUCAGUUGUGUUUGGUAGUCUGCAAUAUUUUGUGCAAACCAAGAAAAGGGAACUAGCAGGAGGGAUAUAAAGUUGUUGUACAUCUAGUCCCGGUUCUGUACCGGCGGUCUUCUGCAAGCUUUUGUGCAGACCAAAGAAAAGGAAGGCAAGUCCGUUGUGCGGCUCUAGCCUGUUGGCAAAGGUGCUGGGGAGACCACUGCAUUGGCCAAAGAAAAAGAAGAAAAAGGAAGGCAGGUCAUUUUUACUGUUCAUACUCUGGGUCGUUCUCACAGGUAAAUGCCCUUGUAUACUUCUGUGUAUGUGCGUGCAUCUGUGGUAUUAGGGAAUCAGAAUGAAUGCUUGGUUGAUGUGUAGACCAGAUUUAUCUCGUAAUUAGUACCCAUCUGGACUGCCUAGUUCGACUCCCACUUUCAGCAGUUGAUAAUCCACCCCAAUUUGAAACAAUGGAUGCUGUAAUUGAUAGACCCCGUACUCUCCAUGAGUACAUGUAUCCUGCGAGAAUAAGUAUGUCUUCAUGUAUUGUCUUAUCCCGGACCGAUGGCCCAUUUGAAUUAGAUGCAAACAUGAUACAAAUUCUUGCAAUAUUUCGAGGGGAUAAUGCUGAAAACCCCUAUCAUCAUGUAAGAGAGUUUGAGCAAAUUUGUAGGACUAUGCAAUUUGAAAACAUGUCCGAGAACU